CGGACGGGUGAGUAACGCGUGGGUAACCUGCCUUGUACUGGGGGACAACAGUUGGAAACGACUGCUAAUACCGCAUAAGCGCACAGCUUCGCAUGAAGCAGUGUGAAAAACUCCGGUGGUACAAGAUGGACCCGCGUCUGAUUAGCUGGUUGGUGGGGUAACGGCCCACCAAGGCGACGAUCAGUAGCCGGCCUGAGAGGGUGAACGGCCACAUUGGGACUGAGACACGGCCCAA
rnacentral:rRNA from 1 species